rnacentral:rRNA from 1 species
UACGAAAGGGGCUAGCGUUGCUCGGAAUCACUGGGCGUAAAGCGCACGUAGGCGGACUCUUAAGUCGGGGGUGAAAUCCUGGAGCUCAACUCCAGAACUGCCUUCGAUACUGGGAGCCUUCGAGUUCGGGAGAGGUGAGUGGAACUGCGAGUGUAGAGGUGAAAUUCGUAGAUAUUCGCAAGAACACCAGUGGCGAAGGCGGCUCACUGGCCCGAUACUGACGCUGAGGUGCGAAAGCGUGGGGAGCAAACAGG